rnacentral:rRNA from 2 species
GGUUAAGCGACUAAGCGUACACGGUGGAUGCCCUGGCAGUCAGAGGCGAUGAAGGACGUGCUAAUCUGCGAAAAGCGUCGGUAAGGUGAUAUGAACCGUUAUAACCGGCGAUGUCCGAAUGGGGAAACCCAGUGCAAUUCGUUGCACUAUCGUUAACUGAAUACAUAGGUUAACGAGGCGAACCGGGGGAACUGAAACAUCUAAGUACCCCGAGGAAAAGAAAUCAACCGAGAUUCCCCCAGUAGCGGCGAGCGAACGGGGAGCAGCCCAGAGUCUGAAUCAGCUUGUGUGUUAGUGGAACGGUCUGGAAAGUCCGACGGUACAGGGUGAUAGUCCCGUACACCAAAAUGCACAGGUUGUGAACUCGAAGAGUAGGGCGGGACACGUGGUAUCCUGUCUGAAUAUGGGGGGACCAUCCUCCAAGGCUAAAUACUCCUGACUGACCGAUAGUGAACCAGUACCGUGAGGGAAAGGCGAAAAGAACCCCGGCGAGGGGAGUGAAAAAGAACCUGAAACCGUGUACGUACAAGCAGUGGGAGCACCUU